UACGUAGGGGGCAAGCGUUGUCCGGAAUCAUUGGGCGUAAAGCGCGCGUAGGCGGCCCGGUAAGUCCGUUGUGAAAGUCAAAGGCUCAACCUUUGAACGCCGAUGGAUACUGCCGGGCUAGAGUCCGGAAGAGGCGAGUGGAAUUCCUGGUGUAGCGGUGGAAUGCGCAGAUAUCAGGAGGAACACCAACGGCGAAGGCAGCUCGCUGGGACGGUACUGACACUGAGGCGCGAAAGCGUGGGGAGCGAACAGG
rnacentral:rRNA from 1 species